CGCGAUUCUGCUCCACAGAGUGAAAUUCUCACAGGUGUGAGAGGGGUCACAGUAAUCUGAACCGGAACUGCAGCUGCACACAGGCUAGCUGAGCACUGAAGAGAGAGGCCCCAGACUGGAAGGUUAAUGCAAGAUGGCCAGUGUGAUGCGGCGACCAAGUCCUGACCUCAUGGAACGGCAACAGUAAGAGACAACGCGUGUGAUUGGCAGCAGGGCAGAGGUUUACCUCUGCCUGCAUUUGUGAGUAGGGUCUCUACUGUUGUUUACUGGGUGCAGCUGGAUUGGGAGAGGGUCACCAUGGCCAUGAGCCAGGGCCGCUUCUGGGACCAUUGUUCUGGCCCCUAUUUGUUAUGUUACAGGACACCGACACAAGGGGAGCUGUGGCGGUGGUCGCAUCAUGGAUUCGGGUGCAGAACGCAAGCCGGACUGGGAAGUGAUGGGCCAGCGGAAGGACAAGAAGAUGGGUGGCUCUUUCUUGUCUGCCGAAGACGGGGCUGGCGUGGACUCUGCUCUAAAGGAGGAAUUCCUGGCCUGCUGAUGGACCCAUAAUGAACAUGUGGCCUAAUUAUAGCAGGGGGGGGUUUAGUGAAUGUAGAAAAUGGUAGUUUUAUGGGUUUUAGAAUUGUUUUUAGUAGAGAGCAAACAUUUUAUUACGUACAUUUUAAGGGUGUUUUUAUUUGUGCUCUCUGGCCCAGUAAUAAACUGUUUCUGAUCAGA